rnacentral:tRNA from 1 species
GACCGCGUAGCUCAGUUGGCAGAGCAUUGGGCUAGCAAUCCAAAGGUCGUAGGUUCGAUUCCCACCGUGGUCA